rnacentral:rRNA from 1 species
GCGCGAAAGUUCCCUUCGGGGAGCAAUUAGCGCGGCGAAAGGGUGAGUAAUGCAUGAGUAACGUACCUUGGGCACGAGGAUAGUCCACCGAAAGGUGGAGCAAUACUCGAUAAAAUCACAUGAAUUUCGGUUUGAGUGAUCAAAGGGUGGGGAUUCCUUCGGGGACCUGCCGGCCUGGGAUCGGCCCAUGCUCCAUCAGCUUGUUGGUAGGGUAACGGCCUACCAAGGCGACGACGGAUAGCCGGACUGAGAGGUUGACCGGCCUCAUUGGGACUGAGACACUGCCCAGACUCCUACGGGGGGCUGCAGGGAUGAAUAUUCCGCAAUGGGCGAAAGCCUGACGGAGCGACGCUGCGUGUGGGAAGAAGCUCUUCGGGGUGUAAACCACCGUCAGGGGCUACCAAGCAAAUCCCUUUAAUAGAGGGAGGCGUUGAGGAGCCCCAGAGGAAGCCACGGCUAACUUCGUGCCAGCAGCCGCGGUAAGACGAAGGUGGCAAGCGUUGUUCGGAAUUACUGGGCUUAAAGAGCACGUAGGCGGCCCGUUAAGCGUCUUGUGAAAUCCCUCGCUCAACCGAGGAAUUGCUUGGCGAACUGGCGAGCUUGAGGCAGGUAGAGGCGCGCGGAACUCUUGUGGAGCGGUGAAAUGCGUAGAUAUCA